UACGGGGGGAGCAAGCGUUGUCCGGAAUCAUUGGGCGUAAAGCGCGCGUAGGCGGCCCGGUAAGUCCGUUGUGAAAGUCAAAGGCUCAACCUUUGAAAGCCGAUGGAUACUGCCGGGCUAGAGUCCGGAAGAGGCGAGUGGAAUUCCUGGUGUAGCGGUGGAAUGCGCAGAUAUCAGGAGGAACACCGAUAGCGAAGGCAGCUCGCUGGGACGGUACUGACGCUAAGGCGCGAAAGCGUGGGGAGCGAACAGG
rnacentral:rRNA from 1 species